ensembl:lncRNA
CCCAGGGCAAUUACCUAUACCAAAACCCACUGCAUGUAUGCCAGGAAGGAUUGGCACACAAGCACCUAUUCACAGAAUACAGAGAGUGAGGCAUAGAAUACAGAGAGAGUGAGGCAUAGAAUACAAUAAGAGUGAGGCAUAGAAUACAGUGAGGGUGAGGCAUAGAAUACAGUGAGGGUGAGGCAUAUAAUACAGUGAGAGUGAGGCAUAGAAUACAGAGAGGGUGAGGCCUAUAAUACAGAGAGAGUGAGGCAUAGAAUACAGAGAGUGAGGCAUAUAAUACAGAGAGAGUGAAGUUUAUUUCAAAUGAUCAUAGGUAGACUAUUGUAUGGAAGGGUCACAACAAGGGUUA